rnacentral:rRNA from 1 species
AUGUUAGCUAUUGCUGCAUUUCAUGAUUAUGAAAUUUGGCAAAUGGAUGUCAAAACUGCAUUCUUGAAUGGAUUUCUGGAAGAAGAGUUGUAUAUGAUGCAACCAGAAGGUUUUGUUGAUCCAAAAGGUGCUAACAAAGUGUGCAAGCUCCAGCGAUCCGUUUAUGGACUGGUGCAAGCAUCUCGGAGUUGGAAUAAACGUUUUGAUAGUGUGAUCAAAGCAUAUGGUUUUAUACAGACUUUUGGAGAAGCCUGUAUUUACAAGAAAGUGAGUGGGAGCUCUGUAGCUGUUCUGAUUUUAUAUGUAGAUGACAUAUUAUUAAUUGGAAAUGAUAUAGAAUUUCUGGAUAGCAUAAAGGGAUACUUGAAUAAAAGUUUUUCAAUGAAAGACCUCGGUGAAGCUGCUUACAUAUUUGGGCAUCAAGAUCUAUAG